rnacentral:tRNA from 1 species
GGUGGCUCAGUGGUAGAGCUCUUGCCUUGCAUGCAUAAGGCCCUGGGUUCAAUUCCUCAGCACCA